rnacentral:piRNA from 1 species
GAGUUUCAGCUUUCAUUGAAGUCU